GGGCGUAAAGAGCUCGUAGGCGGUUUGUCGCGUCUGCUGUGAAAAUUCGAGGCUCAACCUCGGACUUGCAGUGGGUACGGGCAGACUAGAGUGCAGUAGGGGAGAAGGGAAUUCCUGGUGUAGCGGUGGAAUGCGCAGAUAUCAGGAGGAACACCAAUGGCGAAGGCACUUCUCUGGGCUGUAACUGACGCUGAGGAGCGAAAGCGUGGGGAGCGAACAGGAUUAGAUACCCUGGUAGUCCACGCCGUAAACGUUGGGCGCUAGAUGUGGGUCACAUUCCACGUGAUCCGUGUCGCAGCUAACGCAUUAAGCGCCCCGCCUGGGGAGUACGGCCGCAAGGCUAAAACUCAAAGGAAUUGACGGGGGCCCGCACAAGCGGCGGAGCAUGCGGAUUAAUUCGAUGCAACGCGAAGAACCUUACCAAGGCUUGACAUAUAGUGGAAAACUGCAGAAAUGUAGUCCCCCGCAAGGGUCGCUAUACAGGUGGUGCAUGGUUGUCGUCAGCUCGUGUCGUGAGAUGUUGGGUUAAGUCCCGCAACGAGCGCAACCCUCGUCCUAUGUUGCCAGCACGUAAAGGUGGGAACUCAUGGGAGACUGCCGGGGUCAACUCGGAGGAAGGUAAU
rnacentral:rRNA from 1 species